AUGUUAGUUACAUACAUUUGGUACAUAUAUUAAUUAUCUUUGAAGUUGUGUUAAAAACAUUGUGUGGUGUAGAUUAAUUGUCCGAGUAAAAUAUACUAAUAAAGUAGGUAUACCUGAUAAUGAUUACGUUACCAAGUUUCUCUUCGUCAUUGGGUGUUCUCCUGAUAUGCAGCUUCAUUCCAUUUGCCGCGCCAUUACAAACAAGAUUUCAUAAUAAAUAUGAAAUUACCGGUUUAGUUGAAAAUGUACGUUUUACGGAUGAGAAUGCCUUGUAUGUGGCGCGAGAUGAUAUUGGAACAUUAUGUUACAUCGCUCUCGACAGUAAAAAUGCUACAGCCACGUAUGGUGAUACUAAUCUGGCAUAUGAAUCCAAGAAAUAUCAUAAAAGUUUUGACAUGAAUGUAUGUCAAUUUGCUCACAGAGCUUUCCAUUUUAAAAAAGAGGUUAAUAUGUAUUGCAUGCUAACGAAGGGCGCUAACCAAGUAGCUGGAAUUCAGUAUGCUGGCAGAAGAGCAGUUACUGAUUGGGAAAACAAUUACUAUACCCACAUUUGCAGACCAAACUAACUUGCGAGCAGAGCAAGUUAAUUUUUUUAUGUCUUAUGCUAGCUUUUAGUUACAUGAAUUAUUGGAAAUCGUAAUCAAUAAAAUAAUAUUCGUUAA